CAGAAGGCAGUUAACCCUUUCUAAUCUGACUCUUGGGACUCUAGAGGAACUCAGUCUGCCACAGUAAGUGGUAAGUUCUUCUGUCCAGUGUUAGUAUUUUGAUGGUUUCCAGAUAUCAGUGCACA